GGGCUACCCCGAGGACCAGCUGGGCCUGAAGGACCGGCAGAACCAGCUUCACCCUGUAAUGGCACCAAAGACCAGUGAGGUAGAAGUCACUCACUCUAAUGCCUUUGAAGCCAGGAAGUCCAGGAGUCCCAGGGAAUCCACGAGCACCCUUGGGGGAAAAUCAGAACCAGAUGCCUUUAAUCAAUGCCACCAGUGUGUGUGACAUCCAAGCCACCAUCAGAGGCAUGUUCAUAACUAAUGCUGGACCACAUCCUGUUGUCACCAAUCUCACCUGUGG